AGAGGAAAAUGGGAGGGAGAAGUUGAGAAGGUUGAGAAGGUUUUGGUAGGGGAAUGUUAUGAAGGAUCUAGGUGGGGAUGUAAAUAGAAUGAUGAAAGAAAGAAAGAAAGAGUGAGUGAGAGAGAGAGAGAGAGAGAAAAGUUAUGUGGAACUGGGACGUGGCUAUGGAAGAAAAAGAAGAAGAAGAAGUGGUGGUGGUGGUGGUGGUGGUGGUGGGGUGGUAGUGUUGGGUAUUAUCGAUUCGCCGGGGCUCGCAAGUUAACGGUUUGUUUACAAGAUCGUGGAGGGGAAUAUAUGCGCGCAUGCGCUACGUGGCCAAAACAAUAAUAACAUAGUAGUAAAGAAGAAGGGUUCAUGGCUGAUGGACGAACGUGUAUUAUUAUCGUCGUCCCAGAACAAAUAUAAACAAAGAAAAAGAAGAAAAGCAAGAAAAGAAUAAAAAAGAGAAAAGUAUUAUACUCUCUGUUUAUUGUGAAGAAGAGUUUCUAUGUGUGUACAUUCAAAACGUACAAUCAAUGAGAGAAUUGUUCCUGUUGAAUCGAUACAACUAAUAUAAUAAACGUGACUAUAAUAAUAAUAAUAAUAAUAAGGAGAAAGAGAGAGUGUGUGUUAAAGAUGAUAAAGAUAGUGAGAUGAUGAAACAUCGACGUUCUAAAUCAAAAGAAUAUAAAAUCUGCGAUUUAACUGAGAGAGAAUAGUGUUUUUAAACGAACAGUGAUAUUAGACUGUACGUUGAGAAAUAGAGAAAUAUUAUAUAAAAGGUUACUAAUAAUAUAACAUAUUAUAUAUAUGUAUAUACAUGAAAACAUAGCGUUUCUCUUUUCAUAAGAAGCUUUGUAUUUCAUUCACAUAAUUACAACGUGUGUGUGUGGGGUUUUUCUCUUGUUCUUUUAACGAUAAACAUCCCACAUUAAAGAA
rnacentral:lncRNA from 1 species